rnacentral:lncRNA from 1 species
CUUCAGAGUCCGAUUCUAAAAUUGAAGUGCCUCAUGGUGUUAAGUUCCAGGAAGAAAAUACUGAUGCUUUUGAGGAAAAUGGUGAGAAUGUUGUUAAAAUUGAGGGCACUACCUUGAAUAUGGUGUCGAAGAUGGAUUUAGCUCCUGAUGUAGAAAAGGUUUCUCCUCCAAGGGCAGCUUCUGCUGUUGAAAGUGAAAUUACUACUCAAUUAUAUUCUUCAGAGUCCAGUUCUAAAAUUGAAGUUCCCCAUGGUAUUAAGUUCCAGGAAGAAAAUAGUGGUGCUUCUGAGGGAAAUGGUGAGAAUGUUAAUAAAAUCGAGGGCACUACUUUGAAUAUGGUGUCAAAGAUGGAUCUAGUUCCUGAUGUAGAAAAUGUUUCUCCUCCAUUGGCAGCUUCUGCUGUUGAAAGUGAAAUUACUACUCAAUUAGCUUCUUCAGAGUCCAGUUCUACAAUUGAAGUGCCCCAUGGUC